GGAGAGGUUCCCGAGUCGGCCAAAGGGGGCAGACUGUAAAUCUGCUGGCACCGCCUUCACAGGUUCGAAUCCUGUCCUCUCCACCA
rnacentral:tRNA from 1 species